GAUUUGGUAGCUCAGCUGGUAGAGCAAUACACUUUUAAUGUAUGGGCCCUGGGUUCGAAUCCCAGCCAGAUCA
rnacentral:tRNA from 1 species